GUCCGGUACCGGCCCUCUCUCUCUCUCUCUCUCUCUCUCUCUCUCUAGCUCUCUCUCUCUCUCAGCUCUCGCCACUGUCCCCCGCCCACCACAGCCCUCGCGUCCGUUCAAGGUACACGUACAAGCUUGCACUACAAAAAUCACUGUAUUGAUGGACCAGGGACGCCAUCCUUAUGCAUAUCGGGCACCUCGCCCACCCGUGCCCCCCAUGACCACGCCCACUGAUUCGACUCCAGUAUAUACUGCGGCGUGGCCACCCCACCCAGACGGGGCUUA